CACUCCUGAGACUUUCUAUAGUAAAAUGCCCUCUGCUGAAAGAACACUGCAAGAAAGAUCAAGGACGAGAGUGGUCCAAGAUAGCCCACAUCCCUCGCGUUGAGAUUGACUCGAGAUUCAUCUACGACCCAGAAGACGAGAAUCAGUGAAAGGCUCCCCUUCUCCCAUUUGAUCCCACUUUUAUUUAGUGCGACAAAAGUUUCAAGAGAUAUAUCCAAAGCUCAAUUUAUUGACCCGCCAGUUCUUUUGCUUCUGCCUCUUCUUCAAUAUCCAUCGUGGGAGACUCGGGGCGAAACUGCUUCCCAAGAAGCGGCUCCUCUCUGAUGAGGCCUCUGAACUAUCAGCAGCAGCAGGAUAACCAGGCCCAGCUGAAGUUAAAUGAAUGAUUAAAUAUAGUUUAUGUUUGCCUGAGAAACAAUUUGGGUGGUUUGGAACUUGGGUUUGCAUCGGUUGUAUUGUUAAUUCUCAUUUUUGGGAAUUUUAUACUUGUCAUCAAUGCUGCGUAGAUAUGGGAGGUUUUGUUGGUUGUCAUCUGAAUGUUGGCAUUGGAGAGAUCCUGUUGCUCCUAUUUCUUGCUGCCAUUCUUGUUGGUUUGCUCUUCUUGUUCGGCUUUCAUGAUGGCAUCAUGAGUGUUUGUUCUAAUGCCCUAGUCACCAAGCAGGGAGAGAAUGCCUUCGAACAUUUGAGUUUAUCAUUACCAAUUGGCCUAUUGCUAGCCAUUACCGAUUCUACAAAUCAUUGGUAUCCCCUAAAAGAGUUUACAAUGGUUAUCCUCAAACAAUUUUGCAGUAUCUAAUUGUGAAGACAGUGCCUUUGGGGGCUUCACAAAGAAGGAAGAAGAAGAAACCUGAAACCUCCGAGUUCAACAUUCCUGGCCUAGACACCAAACCAGAUACAUUUUGUCCAUUGAUUUGUCAUCACACCCUUGUAGGUGGAAACCGAAGUUUUCAAUGAUGAAAAUGUUGAUCCUGAAGAGGAUAUUGAUGUCUAUUUGAUUGGAAAUUAGGGUACAGAGGGUAAAGAGAUGACAAGAUGCUGACGUUGGAAACUAUUAAACCGGUUUACUGGAUUAUGUUGAAGUAGAAGAUCAUCCUUAUUUUGUGGCAAGCAUGACGUACUGGAGGUUACAACAGGGAGUAAUUCUAGAAGGCCUAUUUGUAUCUUACUUGUAUCUUACUAAAAAUGAUGUGGCUAUUAAAAUCAUCAUUGAGUUUGUGAUUGAUCAUUAUUGAAUUUUGAUCAAAGGAUGAUUUUAAUAUCACAUCAUUCUUAGUAGGACACAUAUAUGACACAAAUAAACCUUUUAGAAUUACCUUACAGCAAGAGGCAGAGGAGUUAGCAAAUGCUCUGUUGUUUUUCAUGUAAGAU